UCAAAAUAAAGAAGAAGGAAGAUGAGAGUGAAGAUAGAGUUUUUUUGUGAUUCUUUCUAGAAUUGAGGAAUCCUCCUUGAAUGCCGGUAUUUUUGAUGGAUGAGAUUGGAGGUCGUAGAUAAUUAUGUGGAAUUCUGUUUUGAGAGUGAGUUGGUUAGAGAAAUCUGCUAAGGUAGUUACCAUUAGGAAUAAUUCAGUUAUCAGGGCUAUAACAUGGUUUGUAUGGUUUGAUCCAAUGGUCCAUGGUGCAAAGCUGAAACUAGCAUGGCAUAACAAGGUGCAUAGAAUUUGGAAGCAUGAAGUUUGACACGAAGCUCG